GUUGGCUUUACCCGAAGGCAUUUCGCUAACCGCAAGGAGGCAGGCGACCACGGUAGGGUCAGCGACUGGGGUGAAGUCGUAACAAGGUAGCCGUAGGUGAACCUGCAGAAGGAUCA
rnacentral:rRNA from 1 species